AUACGGAGGGUGCAAGCGUUACUCGGAAUCACUGGGCGUAAAGCGCGCGCAGGCGGCUUGAUAAGUUGGAUGUGAAAGCCUACGGCUCAACCGUAGAACUGCAUCCAAAACUGUCAAGCUAGAGUCUGGGAGGGGAAGAUGGAAUUAGUUGUGUAGGGGUAAAAUCCGUAGAGAUAACUAGGAAUACCAAAAGCGAAGGCGAUCUUCUGGAACAGUACUGACGCUGAGGCGCGAAGGCGUGGGGAGCAAACAGGAUUAGAAACCCCGGUAGUCC
rnacentral:rRNA from 1 species